AUGCUCGCUUCGGCAGCACAUAUACUAAAAUUGGAACGACACAGAGAAGAUUAGCAUGGCCCCUGCACAAGGACGACACGCAAAUUCAUGAAGCGUUCCGUAUUUUU
rnacentral:snRNA from 1 species